GCCAGGUGCGGAGGUGCAUGCCUGUAAUCCCAGCAUCUCAGGAGGCUGAGGCAGGAGGAUCACAAGUUCAAAGCCAACCUCAGCAACUUAGCAAGGCCCUAAGCAACUAAACAAGACCCUGUCUCUA
rnacentral:sRNA from 1 species